rnacentral:rRNA from 1 species
CGAAAGCCUGACGGAGCAAUACCGCGUGAGGGAGGAAGGCUCUUGGGUCGUAAACCUCUUUUCUCAAGGAAGAAGAAAGUGACGGUACUUGAGGAAUAAGCAUCGGCUAACUCCGUGCCAGCAGCCGCGGUAAUACGGAGGAUGCAAGCGUUAUCCGGAAUGAUUGGGCGUAAAGGGUCUGUAGGUGGUACUGUAAGUCUGCUGUUAAAGAACCACGCUCAACGUGAUCAAAGCAGUGGAAACUACAGAACUAGAGUGCGGUAGGGGCAGAAGGAAUUCCUGGUGUAGCGGUGAAAUGCGUAGAUAUCAGGAAGAACACCGGUGGCGAAAGCGUUCUGCUAGACCGCAACUGACACUGAGGGACGAAAGCUAGGGGAGCGAAUGGGAUUAGAUACCCCAGUAGUCCUAGCCGUAAACGAUGGAUACUAGGCGUGGCUUGUAUCGACCCGAGCCGUGCCGGAGCUAACGCGUUAAGUAUCCCGCCUGGGGAGUACGCACGCAAGUGUG